AGGCUAAGCCACAAACCUGAAAGUGCCUGGAAUGCUGGAUCACCUGAGGGAGAGCAGCCCUCGCCACAUAUCCAGAUUCUCAGCAGGCUUUGCCUGAGAGCGGAGUAAAGUUUUGCUAAGCUGCUGACAAUUGGGGGGUUAAUUUGUGAUUGCUGCCUAAUCUGUCUACAUAAAGGAGAAGCUGGAAAGGGGGGGGGGAUAGCUCAGUGGUAGAGUGUGUGCCUAACAUGCACGAGGUCCUGGGUUCGAUCCCCAGUACCUCCAUUAAAGACAAGCAAAUAAAAACCUAAUUACCUCCCCCAAAUAAAAAAUAUAUACAUAAUCAAUUAAAAACAAAAGAGAAGCGGGAAAGUCAGGAGAGGAUUUCUUUGAGGAAGUUUGCAAGAUGUUGGAGUACGUUCUUUCCAUUGCUCUGAUUGGGAAAGGCAGGUGGGUACUUCCCUUCCGCUUCUGCCUAGUGAGAGGGUCUUCAGAGGGACCAUGCAGAGAGCUGGACCUAUUCAUCUGGGGACCAGGAGACACAGAGACUGCAGGAUGCAGAGCAGGAAGUCUGAAGGUGAGAUCCUGUGGCUCAGCUGGAGAAUGGGCUGCUUUGAGAAUCAGCUACACUUUCAAAGUUUGGGACAAAGAUGGAGGAGACAAAGGACAAGCCAAGUGGAAGAAAGCUGACCUAGAGCUCCCUUAUAAGGACUUGGCUCAGGUCCACCACUUGCAGAAGCAUUAGGACCUAAUAGGCAGCCUGUGUCUGGGGGGCUGCAGGGGCAGGGCUGAGGAGGGACCCCAAAAGCAACCAGUCCCAGGAGAAGAAGAUGCCAACCUCUGGGUUCUGAAAUACCAAAAGGGCCCCAAGAGGAAGAGUCAAGGUUAACCCUCUGCUACAGCUGGAAGUCAUCCUUUCCUGCCCUUGAAUUCUCCUCUGUCCUGCACCUAGAGGUAGCAGAGGCAUCCUCUUGAGUUGAAAAGAGAGGCCGAUGCUCCAGGUGGGGAAAUGAAGAAUGUGGCUUUGGCCCCCUCCUGGAUGAAGGAGCAGCUUUGCUAUUAAAUGCAUUUGAGAGUUUUAACUCUUGCUUGGGACUGAAUAGUUUUGCUAUGAAAAAAAGAUUGAGAGUCUAAAAGUAGAGGAUUUUUUUUAUACACAAGGAUGACAGAAAACAUAUACAUUUUUGAUUAUAAGGAGGAAUUUGUCCUACAGAGCAGGUUUGAAAGGACAGAACAGAGGAACGUGUGUGCUUUUUAUUUUUCAUUUUUGUUUUGCUGCACUUCCUCUUUGAAAGAUACGUGUUCACAAGCAUCACAAAUGAUGCUGUUGAUUACAUUAACAUCAAAACACUCAAAACAGAACAGCUACCUGAAAUAUGCACUAGAGAGAGGUCUGUUCUUGAAUUCCAUCGCGGAGUAUGACACUGUGAGUAACACACCAUUCUUCUGAUCAUAGAAUAUAAUCUCCUAAAAUGGGAUAGGAUCCUGGAGCCAAAGGUCCAUGAACCUUCACUACAAUGUCUUAAAACAUUUAAAACAGCGUCUUAAAAAAAAUCUAUUAAUUGUAACGCAAAACUGCUUGAUAGUUAGAGCUCAGAGAAACGUUGACCAACAAUUUUCCUAAAUGCCUUUUAUUGCCCACAGGAAACACCUUACCAACGUGUUCCAUGAAGAAACAGCAGCUCUGCCUGGGGUGGCUCUGCUGAGGAGAAACCACAGAGAAUCAUUUGGAGGUGAAGGUUGGCGGCAUCUCAUCUCUUGCCCACAUGUGCAGCUUUGGUGCCGAUCUGUGAAUGACUUCAGAAAGGAAGGAAUUAACAUAUCCCCUCUGGAGGCUGACAAGAAGCAGGAAAUGUUUGAUUUUACUCCUUCUCCCUUCAGUAUAAAAGAAACGUGAAUUCUAACUCAGGACCUGGCCCAGCUUCAAACUUCCAGUCUCUGUGAGGAUGCAAGGAGUAGUCAGCAGUCUGCAAUUGGAACAACCUGGAACAACCUGGAAGAGGUCCUUCAGCAGAACCAGACCGUGCUGGCAUCCUGAUCUUGGACUUCCAACCUCCAGGACUAUGAGGAAUAAAUUUCUGUUUAUAAGCC